CGCGUGGAUAAGGGAGGAGUAGGGGGAUCCGUAAAAAGACUGUUUCUGACCUCUUUUCCCUCAGGCUGAGCAGAAAGCUGAGAGAGAAAAAGAUGACAUCUCCUCACUGGCAUCCCAGAGAAUUUCCUAGAAUCUAAGAAUGUCCAUGUUGGAAGCAAACUCACUGUGGAGUCCUGUUCCUUCCUCGACUUUCUAACAACCCACCAGUGGCCUGGGCAGCGUAGGAAGAGAGCAGGAACUUUGGGGAACAAGAGUUUGAGAACCCCGUCUGCUCCAUCUGCUCCAGUUCUGUGAAAACCACAUGGAGACCGUCUCCGCUGAGUGGAGUAUUCCUGUUCCUCGAGGAAUGCCCUGUGGGAUUCCAUUCCUUUUCCCCUCCUCCCUUCAGCCUGGGCCAGCCAUGUGGCGUGACAUCCUUGUGGCUCCUGGGCCUCCCCCAACCCCGCCCCUCUUGCUCUUUUGUC
rnacentral:lncRNA from 1 species